rnacentral:rRNA from 1 species
AUUGAACGCUGGCGGCAUGCCUUACACAUGCAAGUCGAACGGUAACGGGCCUUCGGGUGCCGACGAGUGGCGAACGGGUGCGUAAUACAUCGGAACGUGCCCGAUCGUGGGGGAUAACGAGGCGAAAGCUUUGCUAAUACCGCAUACGAUCUACGGCUGAAAGCAGGGGACCGCAAGGCCUUGCGCGGACGGAGCGGCCGAUGGCAGAUUAGGUAGUUGGUGGGAUAAAAGCUUACCAAGCCGACGAUCUGUAGCUGGUCUGAGAGGAUGAUCAGCCACACUGGGACUGAGACACGGCCCAGACUCCUACGGGAGGCAGCAGUGGGGAAUUUUGGACAAUGGGCGCAAGCCUGAUCCAGCCAUGCCGCGUGCAGGAUGAAGGCCUUCGGGUUGUAAACUGCUUUUGUACGGAACGAAAAGCCUUCUUUUAAUACAGGAGGGUCAUGACGGUACCGUAAGAAUAAGCACCGGCUAACUACGUG